AUCCAGAUGACGAGUCCCAAAUAGGACGAAACACGCGUGAAAUUGGAU
rnacentral:hammerhead_ribozyme from 1 species